rnacentral:rRNA from 1 species
UCAAAACAUCACCCAAAGAAUGGGCUUUACCUGCUCAAUGGCAUAAGUUAAAUAGCCAGUUUAUGCUAAGGUAGCAUAAUAAUUUGCUUUAUAAUUGAAAGAUAGAAUGAACGGUAUUUCCAGAGAUACUUAUUUUAAUUAUAAAUCAAAUUUUUUUUAAGUUGAAAAUUUCUUAAUAAUUUUUUUAGACGAUAAGACCCUAUGAAGCUUUAUUAAAAAAAAAUAUUAUAACACUAUAUUUUAAUUUUUUUGGGGCAAAAAAAAACUUUGUUAUUUUUAUUUAGUAAAAUUUUGAUCUUUGUGAAUUUAAAGAAAAAGCUACUCUAGGGAUAACAGCAUAAUUUUUAAAAAAGUUCUUAUUAAAAUAAAAGUUUGUGACC